CGUGGGUGAUGAAGGUUUUCGGAUCGUAAAGCCCUGUGGGAGAGGAAAGAACAACCUGUGGUAAUGCGCAGGCCUGACGGUACCUCUCCAGAAAGCACCGGCUAACUCCGUGCCAGCAGCCGCGGUAAUACGGAGGGUGCGAACGUUGUUCGGAAUUACUGGGCGUAAAGCGCGUGUAGGCGGCAUAGCAAGUCAGAUGUGAAAGCCCAUGGCUCAACCGUGGAAGUGCAUUUGAAACUGCUAAGCUAGAGUACGGGAGAGGGUUGUAGAAUUCCCGGUGUAGAGGUGAAAUUCGUAGAUAUCGGGAGGAAUACCAGUGGCGAAGGCGGCAACCUGGACCGAUACUGACGCUGAGACGCGAAAGCGUGGGGAGCAAACAGGAUUAGAUACCCUGGUAGUCCACGCCGUAAACGAUGGACACUAGGUGCAGCGGGUAUUGACCCCUGCUGUGCCGUAGCUAACGCGUUAA
rnacentral:rRNA from 1 species